CCUACGGGUGGCAGCAGUGGGGAAUAUUGCACAAUGGGCGAAAGCCUGAUGCAGCAACGCCGCGUGAGUGAAGAAGGAUUUCGGCACGUAAACCUCUAUCAACAGGGACGAAAGAAAUGACGGUACCUGACUAAGAAGCCCCGGCUAACUACGUGCCAGCAGCCGCGGUAAUACGUAGGGGGCAAGCGUUAUCCGGAAUUACUGGGUGUAAAGGGAGGGUAGGCGGCAAGGUAAGCCAGAUGUGAAAGGCAUGGGCUAAACCCGAGGAUUGCAGUGGGAACUAUUAAACUUGAGUGCAGGGGAGGAAAGCGGAAUUCCUAGUGUAGCGGUGAAAUGCGUAGAUAUUAGGAGGAACACCAGUGGCGAAGGCGGCUUUCUGGACUGAAACUGACGCUGAGGCACGAAAGCGUGGGGAGCAAACAGGAUUAGAUACCCGAGUAGUC
rnacentral:rRNA from 1 species